rnacentral:tRNA from 1 species
GGAAGAUUGUCCGAGUGGUUUAUGGAGGCGGUCUUGAAAACCGUUGCGGGUGAAAGCCUGCCGUGGGUUCGAAUCCUACAUCUUCCG